GAGAACCAGCUCAAGAAACCCAAAGUGACCAUGUACCUGGCGUUCAAACCUGAGCUGAAUGGGAAGACCACCCUGCUAUGUCUGGCUAGAGACAUGUUUCCAGACUUAGUCAAGAUCUCAUGGAAGAUGGAGGAUGAAAACGGCCGAACCGUGGAGGUGCCCAAAGCAGAGGGGGAAGAGCUGGAGCAGAGGGAGGAAGGGCGGACGACAAGUAUGAUCAUCAUUUAUCAAGGAAAGGCAGAUGCCAAAUACAUCUGUUCGGUGGAGCAUGAAGCGGGCCCUGAAGAAGCUGACACAUCAAAAGAGCAAAAUGUUUGCUCUCCAUCUACCAAUGCGAUGGCACCACCCUACAUACCCUAUGCAACCUUCCAGUCCAUGUGCAGUCUGCGUCUGGCCUCUCUGGUUUACACCGUGAUGAUAGUGAAGAGUAUGUUGUACUGCUGCGGGCUCUCUCUCCUGCUGCACCACAGGAACCUGGGAAAUAGCCCCCCUACCUGAAGUAAAGCUACCUGACGCACCAUAUGUCAUCUGUUCAUUGUGAAGAGUUCUGAAAGAGCUCUGGGAACAAGGAGGAAAUUUCAGUUCCCAUUUUCCUCUUCCGAUCCCUCACAGUGAGCAAACAUACUAUUACCGAUGUCUAUGAGAAACUUUUGUAUUCCAAACUCAUUUGGCCACAUCUAUAAAAGUUACUGUUAUUUUAAAGCUCUGGGAACGAGUCUAAAGAAGGCCAGGUGUAUUGCUUCUUUAAUCAGUACAACAGUUUUCAGCUGUGCUAAAAUAAUUGCAAAAGGGUUUUCUAAUGAUCAAUUAGCCUUUUAAAAUGAUGAACUCGGAUUCGCUAACCCAACGUGCCAUUGGAACACAGGAGUGAUGGUUGCUGAUAAUGGGCCUCUGUACGCCUAUGUAGAUAUUCCACAACAAAUCUGUUUCCAGCUACAAUAGUCAUUUACAACAAUGUCUACACUGUAUUUCUGAUCAAUUUGAUCUUAUUUUAAAUGGACAAAAAAUUAGCUUUUCUUUCAAAAACAAGGACAUUUCUAAGUGACCCAAAACUUGUUAACAGUCGUUUCUAUAAACCCUGGAUUGCUGAUGCUAGGUAUUGGCCAAUGAGAGGCCAAUGAGAGGUGAAAUGUUUUACUUUCAGGAAAAUGUUUUUAUGUGUAUAUUUUUUUAUGUUUAGCUCACAUAAUAUUAUUUAAGGUGUCUGUAAUAUAAUACACAUCGCAAAAACAAAUUUUGACAUUAGUAAAUGCAUAUAUAUAUGUAUAUAGAUAUAGCUUCUCCCCCCAAAAAAUACAACAGUGAAGGAGUACCAAAAUGGAGGCACGUUGGCUAUCUAGUGUAUAUAUAAAUCAUUGUUCAAAAUGAGUGUCUUGAGACAGUUCAGAACAGUGGCGUGAUGUGACCAAGUGAUGGAGGAGGUGCAACCCAUGAUUUGUUCUCUGCUCAAAACUCCUGUCUAUGCUUAAAGGGGCGAUCUGCAGUUUCUACAUACAUUUUUUAAAUUAAAACAUUAAUGAUAUAUACCCAUUGAUUCUUAAAGAAUAUGAAUUAGAAAUGCCUCAUGAGCUUAGUUCAACUGUCAUACCCCAUCAGAAACCAUAAUAUAAGCUUGUUUUACUCCAAUGUAAUUUCUCCAACGUUUUUACCAAAACAAUGGCGGGGAAUUGCUUUAUUAUUGUUUUAACAGCGGAUUGCCCCUUUCAAAUAAAGGUCGUAUUUUCUCCAGGUCUUAAUGAUUAGACUUAGAAACGUUUAAUUUUUGUUCUUUCCCUAUGUCUUUAUGUGUGUUCAUAAAAAUGCUGUACAAGUUUUCAUGGUAUUUGUUUUUUGUGUUAAAUAAAUGUUUUAUAAUCUUUGCA